CUACGGGAUGCUCCAGUCGGGAGAAUUUUGCAAUACACGUAAGUGUGACAAAGCAAGCCAGAGUGCUUCUCUAUAAUUGAGAAGCUUUUGCGAGAUGUAAAAAGUCUCGCGAAUAAGGACCGGGCAAGACUGGUGCCAGCAGCCGCGGUAAUCCCAGCGGUCCAAGUCGCAGCCACAUUUGUUGGGUCUAAAAUAUCCGUAGCUUGCCACUCAAGUCUUGUGUGAAAUCUGGCCUCUUAAGGGUCGGGCGUGCACAAGAUACUGUUUGGCUAGAGACCGGGAGACGUAAUGAGUACGCACAGGGUAGCGGUAAAAUGUGUUGAUCCUGUGUGGACUAACAAUAGCGAAGGCACGUUACGAGAACGGUUCUGACAGUGAGGGAUGAAGGCUAGGGGCGCAAAGUGGAUUAGAUACCCUGGUAGUC
rnacentral:rRNA from 1 species